rnacentral:rRNA from 1 species
GCUGAAGCCUUCCGAAAGGGAGGUGGAGGGCCGAACCCGUGUUGAUGUGCAAAUCACUGGGGUGACCUGGGCAUAGGGGUGAAAGGCCAAUCUAGGCCGGGAAUGGCUGGUUCCCCUCGAAAUCAGUCGCAGCUGGACCUCGGCGGAGGUUAGGCCAUGGGGUAGAGCUACCGAUUGGAUGCUAAGGCGGAGAAAUCCGUCGGUGUCCUGUCGAACUCCAAAUCCGUGGUCGCCGUAGAUGCCGGGAGUCGAGUGCCUGGGGUAAUCUUGGCAUUCGUAAGGGAAACCGCCCAACCUGCAGUUAAGGUCCCUAAGUGCCGACUCAGUGCGAAUACCAAAGGGAGUUCGUAGUCUCAGACAGCUGGGAUGUGGGCUUAGAAGCAGCCAUCAUUCAAAGAUAGCGUAACAGCUCACCAGCCGAGAUUAUGGGCCCCGAAAAGGGACGGGGCUUAAGUCGGUCACCGAUACUGCAGAGCACCGAAAGGUGAUCUUGUAGAGGGGCGUCGUGCGCGGGUCGAAGUCGGGCCGUGAGGUCCGGUGGACCGCGUUCGAAUAAGGAUCCUGGGAGGAGUAGCAGCACAGUGCGGUGAGAAUCCGCACCGCCGAAAGGGCCAGGGUUCCUCGGCAACGCUCGUCAGCCGAGGGUUAGUCGGUCCUAAGUGUUCCCCUAACCGAGGAACGCGAAAGGGAAGCAGGUUAAUAUUCCUGCACCAAGCGGAACCCUGUCCAACGUCCGACACAUCGCGGUAAGCGGAGUCGUCUUGCCUGGCGAUUCAACCGUUGAAACCCCCGGAGUGCCGUCAUGGCGAGAAGGGGGCGAAUGCGGGAGCACGGGCGCAAGUCCGUCCGCCCAGCCGCGGUGUCCGUGAAAACGACGUUGGAGUCAUUCCGUCUGUCCGUACCUAGAACUGACACAGGUGCCCCUGGGUGAGAAGCCCAAGGCGUGUCGGCGAAAAUCCACGCGAGGGAAUUCGGCAAAUUAGCCCCGUACCUUUGGUAUAAGGGGUGCCAGCCGCGCGAGCGGCUGGUCGCAGUGACAAGGGAGCCCCGACUGUUUAACCAAAACACAGGUGGCCGCCAGAUCGAAAGGUUGUGUACGGCCGCUGAAGCCUGCCCAGUGCUGGUAUCUGAAAGCUCGUUUCAACGGGACGAAGGACCAGUAAACGGCGGGGGUAACUAUGACCCUCUUAAGGUGAGAACGUCGCCUUAACAAAAAUCGGCCAUAUGCGGGGAACCCCGAGUAUCCGUGCGUACUGCAGCCGCAGUAACAAUCGCACGGUGCGGACAAUCCGCAGGGAAGGCCGGCCCCGGGAACGAGGUCGGAACCCUCAGAGACUUUACGCCGAUCACCGCGGAAGCGGUGAAGAUAAAGUCCGACCCCCAUGGCGACAUGGGGAGGCCGCGAGAAAUCGCGACCCGCCUAUUCCCUCGAUGUGAACACGAACGUGUACGCGCGAGGGAGAGGUCUCGAAAGCAACAGAUGUGAGCGUAAUACCUUGUCGCUUAAUUGGCGACUUGCAUGAAGGCCCAACGAGAGCUCUCCUGUCCCCGCGUGGAGGCCGGUGAAACUGACGUACUGGCGCACAGUCCAGUACCUUCCACCUGAAAGCGAAGACCCCGUGGAGCUUUACUGCAGUCUGUCGCUGCCGUAUGAGUUUGGAUGUGUAGCGUAGGCGGGACUCGUUACAAAGGGCCGACCGCUAGGUCGGCACCGAGAGGCCGAUGAAACACCGCCCUUCUGGAUUCGUACGGCUUACCCCUUCGGAGGGACAACGAUAGGUAGGCAGUUUGGGUGGGGCGCCACGCCCUCAAAAAGAUAACAAGGGCGCCCAAAGGUUGGCUUAGGAGGGUCAGAAAUCCUCCGUUAACUGUAAGGGGAAAAGCCAGCCUGACGUGGACUUGCCCAACGAGAGUCCACGAGAGGAAACUCGGGCCUAGCGAACCCAUGAGCCUGAUUUGUGCGGGCCAUGGAUGACAGAAAAGUUACCCCGGGGAUAACUGAGUCGUCUCCGGCUAGAGUUCCUAUCGACCCGGAGGCUUGCUACUUCGACGUCGGCUCUUCCUAUCCUGGUGGUGCAUGAGCUGCCAAGGGUGGGGUUGUUCGCCCAUUAAAAGGGAUCGUGAGCUGGGUUCAGACCGUCGUGAGACAGGUUUGUUGCUUUUUGGUGGAAGCGCUUUGAUGCCUGAGGGGAAGGUCCCUUAAGUACGAGAGGAACGGGGGAUCGGCGCCUCUAGUGUAUGGGUUGUCUGGCAAGGCAUUGCCCAGCAGCCACGCGCUAUACGGAUAACGGCUGAAAGCAUCUAAGCCGGAAACCGCCCUCAAGACGAGGCAUCUUACGGCCGCGGUAGUCGACCGCGUUGAUAGAGCGGGGGUGUACGCAGGAAGUUCGCAAGAGCGACCUGUUCAGCCCGCCGCCACUAACCGCCGUAGCCACACUA